rnacentral:rRNA from 1 species
UUUCCGGUUGAUCCUGCCGGAGGCCACUGCUAUCGGGGUUCGAUUAAGCCAUGCGAGUCGAGAGGGUUCAGACCCUCGGCGGACUGCUCAGUAACACGUGGAUAACCUGCCCUAAGGUGGAGGAUAACCCCGGGAAACUGGGGAUAAUACUCCAUAGAUUAGAGAUACUGGAAUGUUCUUUAGUCAAAAGUUCCGGCGCCUUAGGAUGGAUCUGCGGUCGAUUAGGUUGUUGUUGGGGUAACGGCCCAACAAGCCUGUAAUCGAUACGGGUUGUGGGAGCAAUAGCCCGGAGAUGGAAUCUGAGACAAGAUUCCGGGCCCUACGGGGCGCAGCAGGCGCGAAAACUUUACAAUGCAGGAAACUGUGAUAAGGGAACCCCGAGUGCCCGUAUACGCGGGCUGUCCAGGUGUUUAAAAGUCAUCUGAAGAAAGGGCCGGGCAAGACCGGUGCCAGCCGCCGCGGUAAUACCGGCGGCUCGAGUGGUGGCCACUAUUAUUGGGCUUAAAGCGUCCGUAGCUGGACUGAUAAGUCUCUUGGGAAAUCCGCCGGCUCAACCGGCGGGCGUCUAAGGGAUACUGUUGGUCUAGGGACCGGGAGAGGUGAGAGGUACUCCGGGGGUAGGAGUGAAAUCCUGUAAUCCCCGGGGGACCACCGAUGGCGAAGGCAUCUCACCAGAACGGCUCCGACAGUGAGGGACGAAAGCUGGGGGAGCAAACCGGAUUAGAUACCCGGGUAGUCCCAGCCGUAAACUAUGCGCGUUAGGUGUGCUGGUGACCACGUGUCACCGGGGUGCCG